CAGUAGCCGCGGUAAUACGAGGGGGGCAAGCGUUGUUCGGAUUUAUUGGGCGUAAAGGGUGCGUAGGCGGUUUGGCAAGUCUUGUGUGAAAUCUUCGGGCUCAACCCGAAGCCUGCACAAGAAACUACCGGGCUUGAGUAUUGGAGAGGUGAGUGGAAUUUCCGGUGUAGCGGUGAAAUGCGUAGAUAUCGGAAGGAACACCUGUGGCGAAAGCGGCUCACUGGACAAUAACUGACGCUGAUGCACGAAAGCUAGGGGAGCAAACAGGAUUAGAUACCCCCGUAGUCCCUGUCUCUUAUAC
rnacentral:rRNA from 1 species